rnacentral:rRNA from 1 species
UACGAAGGGUGCAAGCGUUACUCGGAAUUACUGGGCGUAAAGCGUGCGUAGGUGGUCUGUUAAGUCUGAUGUGAAAGCCCUGGGCUCAACCUGGGAAUUGCAUUGGAUACUGGCAGGCUAGAGCGCGGUAGAGGGUAGUGGAAUUCCCGGUGUAGCAGUGAAAUGCGUAGAGAUCGGGAGGAACACCAGUGGCGAAGGCGACUACCUGGACCAGCACUGACACUGAGGCACGAAAGCGUGGGGAGCAAACAGG